rnacentral:rRNA from 1 species
UUAAAGGAAUUGGACGGGGAGCACUACGAACGGGUGGAGCCUGCGGUUUAAUUGGACUCAACGCCGGAAAACUCACCGGGGGCGACAGCAAUAUGUAGGUCAAGCUAAAGACUUUACCAGAAUCGCUGAGAGGAGGUGCAUGGCCGUCGUCAGUUCGUACUGUGAAGCAUCCUGUUAAGUCAGGCAACGAGCGAGACCCGUGCCCACUGUUGCCAGCAUGUCCUUCGGGAUGAUGGGUACUCUGUGGGGACCGCCGAUGCUAAAUCGGAGGAAGGUGCGGGCUACGGUAGGUCAGUAUGCCCCGAAUCUCCCGGGCUACACGCGGGCUACGAUGACUGGGACAAUGGGCUCCUACCCCGAAAGGGGAUGGUAAUCUCAUAAACCCAGCCUUAGUUCGGAUCGAGGGCUGUAACCCGCCCUCGUGAAGCUGGAAUCCGUAGUAAUCGCGUUUCAACAUAGCGCGGUGAAUACGUCCCUGCUCCUU